AGUCGCCGCGGGAAUACGAAGGGUGCAAGCGUUACUCGGAAUUACUGGGCGUAAAGCGUGCGUAGGCGGUUACUCAAGUCAGAGGUGAAAGCCCGGGGCUCAACCCCGGAACUGCCUUUGAAACUAGGUGACUAGAAUCUUGGAGAGGUCAGUGGAAUUCCGAGUGUAGAGGUGAAAUUCGUAGAUAUUCGGAAGAACACCAGUGGCGAAGGCGACUGACUGGACAAGUAUUGACGCUGAGGUGCGAAAGCGUGGGGAGCAAACAGGAUUAGAUACCCGUGUAGUCCCUGUCUCUUAUACC
rnacentral:rRNA from 1 species